GCCUUCGUGGUGUAGUGGUUAGAACGCUCGGCUCGCACUCGAGAGGUUCGUGGUUCGAGUCCCGGCGAGGGUA
rnacentral:tRNA from 1 species